UGCCCCAUAGUCUGGGAUACCACUUGGAAACAGGUGCUAAUACCGGAUAAGAAAGCGGAUCGCAUGAUCAGCUUUUAAAAGGCGGCGUAAGCUGUCGCUAUGGGAUGGCCCCGCGGUGCAUUAGCUAGUUGGUAAGGUAAAGGCUUACCAAGGCGAUGACGCAUAGCCGAGUUGAGAGACUGAUCGGCCACAUUGGGACUGAGACACGGCCCAAACUCCUACGGGAGGCAGCAGAA
rnacentral:rRNA from 1 species